rnacentral:rRNA from 1 species
UCUACGGGUGGCAGCAGUGGGGAAUAUUGCACAAUGGGGGAAACCCUGAUGCAGCGACGCCGCGUGAGCGAGGAAGUAUUUCGGUAUGUAAAGCUCUAUCAGCAGGGACGAAAAAAGACGGUACCUGACUAAGAAGCCCCGGCUAACUACGUGCCAGCAGCCGCGGGAAUACGUAGGGGGCAAGCGUUAUCCGGAUUUACUGGGUGGAAAGGGAGCGUAGACGGCAAGGCAAGCCAGAAGUGAAAGGGCGGGGCUCAACCCUGUACAUGCUUUUGGAACUGUGGUGCUAGAGUGCAGGAUAGGUAAGUGGAAUUCCUAGUGUAGCGGUGAAAUGCGUAGAUAUUAGGAGGAACACCAGUGGCGAAGGCGGCUUACUGGACUGUAACUGACGUUGAGGCUCGAAAGCGUGGGGAACAAACAGGAUUAGAUACCCUGGUAGUC